GAUGAACGCUGGCGGCGUGCCUAACACAUGCAAGUCGAACGAAGCGCUGGAAGUUUUCGGAUGGAAAGUGACUGAGUGGCGGACGGGUGAGUAACGCGUGGAUAACCUGCCUCAUACCGGGGGAUAACAGUUAGAAAUCACAGCUAAUACCGCAUAAGCGCACAGUGCCGCAUGGUACAGGGAGAAAAACUCCGGUGGUAUGAGAUGGAUCCGCGUCUGAUUAGCUAGUUGGCGGGGUAAUGGCCGAACAAGGCGACGAUCAGUAGCCGACCUGGGAGGGUGACCGGCCACAUUGGGACUGAGACACGGCCCAAACUCCUACGGGAGGCAGCAGUGGGGAAUAUUGCACAAUGGGCGAAAGCCUGAUGCAGCGACGCCGCGUGAGUGAAGAAGUAUUUCGGUAUGUAAAGCUCUAUCAGCAGGGAAGAAAAUGACGGUACCUGACUAAGAAGCCCCGGCUAACUACGUGCCAGCCGCCGCAGUAACAC
rnacentral:rRNA from 1 species